ACGUAUGGUGCGAACGUUGUUCGGAAUCACUGGGCAUAAAGAGCACGUAGGCGGCCGAGCAAGUCUGUUGUGAAAUCCCCCGGCUUAACCGGGGAACUGCAGUAGAUACUACUCGGCUUGAGUGCAGGAGGGGAGAGUGGAAUUCCAGGUGGAGCGGUGAAAUGCGUAGAUAUCUGGAGGAACGCCGGCGGCGAAAGCGACUCUCUGGUCUGCAACUGACGCUGAGGUGCGAAAGCUAGGGGAGCAAACGGGA
rnacentral:rRNA from 1 species